UCUUGGUCAUUUAGAGGAAGUAAAAGUCGUAACAAGGUUUCCGUAGGUGAACCUGCGGAAGGAUCAUUAUUGAAAUAAAUCUGACAAGUUGCUGCUGGCUCUCUCGGGAGCAUGUGCACACCUGUCAUCUUUAUAUCUCCACAUGUGCAUCUUUUGUAGACCUGGAUCUCUCUCUGGAUGCUAGCCACUCAGGUUUGAGGAUUGACUUUAUGUCUCUCCUUACAUUUCCAGGUCUAUGUUCUUCAUAUACCCCAAUGUAUGUUUAUAGAAUGCAAUCCAUGGCCUUUGUUGUGCCUAUAAACCCAUACAACUUUCAGCAACGGAUCUCUUGGCUCUCGCAUCGAUGAAGAACGCAGCGAAAUGCGAUAAGUAAUGUGAAUUGCAGAAUUCAGUGAAUCAUCGAAUCUUUGAACGCACCUUGCGCUCCUUGGUAUUCCGAGGAGCAUGCCUGUUUGAGUGUCAUUAAUAUAUCAACCUCUUCAGCUUUUGCUUCUUGAGUGUUGGAUGUGGGGGUCUUUUCUUUGCUGGUCUUCUUAGAUCAGCUCCCCUGAAAUGCAUUAGCAGAACCAUUUGUAGACCGUUCAUUGGUGUGAUAAACUAUCUACGCUAUUGACGUGAAAGCAGGUUCGGCUUCUAACAGUCCAUUGACUUGGACAGAUUCUCAUUAAUGUGACCUCAAAUCAGGUAGGACUACCCGCUGAACUUAAGCAUAUCAAUAAGCGGA
rnacentral:rRNA from 1 species